AGGACGAACGCUGGCGGCGUGCUUAACACAUGCAAGUCGAGCGGUAAGGCCUUUCGGGGUACACGAGCGGCGAACGGGUGAGUAACACGUGGGUGAUCUGCCCUGCACUUCGGGAUAAGCCUGGGAAACUGGGUCUAAUACCGGAUAUGACCUCCUAUCGCAUGGUGGGUGGUGGAAAGAUUUAUCGGUGCAGGAUGGGCCCGCGGCCUAUCAGCUUGUUGGUGGGGUAAUGGCCUACCAAGGCGACGACGGGUAGCCGACCUGAGAGGGUGACCGGCCACGACUGGGACUGAGACACGGCCCAGACUCCUACGGGAGGCAGCAGUGGGGAAUAUUGCACAAUGGGCGAAAGCCUGAUGCAGCGACGCCGCGUGAGGAUGACGGCUCGGUGUAACUACUUCUAGCAGGACGAAGCGCAAGUGACGGUACCUGCAGAAGAAGCACGCUAACUACGUAGCCAGCACGCCGC
rnacentral:rRNA from 1 species